rnacentral:lncRNA from 1 species
AGCCUAUUAUAUUUGUGUCUGUUACUAGAUUAAAACACAAUUAAACAAUUUUAAUCUUUUUAUCAAAAUUUUCCUACUCUUAGGGGAAAUUUGCUGAAAAGGAUGAAAAAAUAUGAUUUUUGGGAAUUUUUUCAUCAAUUGUUCCUAUACAAUUCUUAAUGAGGUCUUGUCAUUCAAAGUAUGAUCAUUUGAGAAACUUGUAUUAAUAUGUUUAUGUACAAACCAUGACAAAACUAACUUUCAAGCAGACAUGUGACAAAUCCUCCAAUAAAAUAGAAAUAUUAUAUCUUCAUUAUUACAAUGAGGGUUAAAAAUCAAAACAUAAACAAAUAACAUACCAAACCAGAC